rnacentral:misc_RNA from 1 species
GAACGCAUAUUGCGCUCUUUGGUAUUCCGAAGAGCAUGCUUGUUUGAGUAUCAGUAAACACCUCAACCUCUCUUUUUUGAUAAAAAAAAGGGAGGGUGGACUUGAGCUAUCCCAACGACCUUCACCGGUAGGCGGGCGGCUUGAAAUGCAGGUGCAGCUGGACUUUUAUCUGAGCUAAAAGCAUAUCUAUUUAGUCCUCGUCAAACAGGAUUAUUACUUUUGCUGCAGCUAACAUAAAGGAUAAUUGUCCUCUUUGCUGACUGAUGCAGGAUUUCACAGAGAAAAGGCCGGCAACGGUUUUGUCUCUGUCAAACUCGAUCUCAAAUCAAGUAAGACUACCCGCUGAACUUAAG